UACGGAGGGUGCAAGCGUUGCUCGGAAUUAUUGGGCGUAAAGGGUAGGUAGGUGGUCUUAUUUGUCGUGGGGUGAAAUCCUUGAGCUUAACUCAAGAAGUGCCCUAGAAACGGUAAGACUAGAGUCUUGGAGAGGGUCGUGGAAUUCCCGGUGUAGCGGUGAAAUGCGUAGAGAUCGGGAGGAACACCAGAGGCGAAGGCGGCGACCUGGACAAGCACUGACACUCAACUACGAAAGCGUGGGAGCAAACAGG
rnacentral:rRNA from 1 species